GGGGAUAAUUCGGGAAAGGGUGUUUAACCCCCCUACCCCCUAGGGGGAAACGGGGGGCCCUUCGGCCCUCCCAUUAUGGAGCGGCCGAAUUUGGAUUAGUUAGUGGGGGGUAACCGCUCCCCAAGGCAACGAUCCGUAGUUGUUUGAGAGGACGCCCAGCCCCACUGGGACUGGACACGGCCCAGAUUCCUACGGGAGGCAGCAGUGGGAAUUUUGGACAAUGGGGGAACCCUGAUCCAGCCAUCCCGCGUGUGCGAUGAAGGCCUUCGGGUUGUAAAGCACUUUUGGCAGGAAAGAAACGGCGCCGGCUAAUACCUGGCGCUAAUGACGGUACCUGCAGAAUAAGCACCGGCUAACUACGUGCCAGCAGCCGCGGUAAUACGUAGGGUGCAAGCGUUAAUCGGAAUUACUGGGCGUAAAGCGUGCGCAGGCGGUUCGGAAAGAAAGAUGUGAAAUCCCAGAGCUUAACUUUGGAACUGCAUUUUUAACUACCGGGCUAGAGUGUGUCAGAGGGAGGUGGAAUUCCGCGUGUAGCAGUGAAAUGCGUAGAUAUGCGGAGGAACACCGAUGGCGAAGGCAGCCUCCUGGGAUAACACUGACGCUCAUGCACGAAAGCGUGGGGAGCAAACAGGAUUAGAUACCCUGGUAGUCCACGCCCUAAACGAUGUCAACUAGCUGUUGGGGCCUUCGGGCCUUAGUAGCGCAGCUAACGCGUGAAGUUGACCGCCUGGGGAGUACGGUCGCAAGAUUAAAACUCAAAGGAAUUGACGGGGACCCGCACAAGCGGUGGAUGAUGUGGAUUAAUUCGAUGCAACGCGAAAAACCUUACCUACCCUUGACAUGUCUGGAAUCCCGAAGAGAUUUGGGAGUGCUCGCAAGAGAACCGGAACACAGGUGCUGCAUGGCUGUCGUCAGCUCGUGUCGUGAGAUGUUGGGUUAAGUCCCGCAACGAGCGCAACCCUUGUCAUUAGUUGCUACGAAAGGGCACUCUAAUGAGACUGCCGGUGACAAACCGGAGGAAGGUGGGGAUGACGUCAAGUCCUCAUGGCCCUUAUGGGUAGGGCUUCACACGUCAUACAAUGGUCGGGACAGAGGGUUGCCAACCCGCGAGGGGGAGCCAAUCUCAGAAACCCGAUCGUAGUCCGGAUCGCAGUCUGCAACUCGACUGCGUGAAGUCGGAAUCGCUAGUAAUCGCGGAUCAGCAUGUCGCGGUGAAUACGUUCCCGGGUCUUGUACACACCGCCCGUCACACCAUGGGAGUGGGUUUUACCAGAAGUAGUUAGCCUAACCGCAAGGGGGGCGAUACC
rnacentral:rRNA from 1 species